rnacentral:rRNA from 1 species
UGGGGAAAUUUGGACAAUGGGCGAAAGCCUGAUCCAGCCAUGCCGCGUGUGUGAAGAAGGUCUUCGGAUUGUAAAGCACUUUAAGUUGGGAGGAAGGGCAGUAAGCGAAUACCUUGCUGUUUUGACGUUACCGACAGAAUAAGCACCGGCUAACUCUGUGCCAGCAGCCGCGGUAAUACAGAGGGUGCAAGCGUUAAUCGGAAUUACUGGGCGUAAAGCGCGCGUAGGUGGUUCGUUAAGUUGAAUGUGAAAGCCCCGGGCUCAACCUGGGAACUGCAUCCAAAACUGGCGAGCUAGAGUAGGGCAGAGGGUGGUGGAAUUUCCUGUGUAGCGGUGAAAUGCGUAGAUAUAGGAAGGAACACCAGUGGCGAAGGCGACCACCUGGGCUCAUACUGACACUGAGGUGCGAAAGCGUGGGGAGCAAACAGG